GCUGCCUCUAGAGGCAUUACAGAUAUUGCUACUGUGUCACAUGUGUGUAAGCAGUUGAAAAGAAGAGAAAGUAUGUCUACAUUCAGAGUUCUGACUCUCUAAACAUCUGAUGAGUUGUAGCCUGAAAAC